AUUGAACGCUGGCGGCAGGCUUAACACAUGCAAGUCGAGCGAGCGGCGGACGGGUGAGUAAUGUCUGGGAAACUGCCUGAUGGAGGGGGAUAACUACUGGACACGGUAGCUAAUACCGCAUCCCAUCGGAUGUGCCCAAAUGGGAUUAGCUAGUAGGUGGGGAAAAGGCGCACCAGGGCGACGAUCCCUAGCUGGUCUGAGAGGAUGACCAGACACACGGGAACUGAGACACGGUCCAGACUCCUACGGGAGGCAGCAGUGGGGAAUAUUGGACAAUGGGCGCAAGCCUGAUGCAGCCAUGCCGCGUGUAUGAAGAAGGUCUUCGGGUUGUAAAGUACUUUCAGCGGGGAGGCGUUACCCGCAGAAGAAGCACCGGCUAACUCCGUGCCAGCAGCCGCGGUAAUUC
rnacentral:rRNA from 1 species